GACGAACGCUGGCGGCGUGCCUAAUACAUGCAAGUCGAGCGAGGUUUUUCUGGUGCUUGCACUAGAAAAACUUAGCGGCGAACGGGUGAGUAACACGUAAAGAACCUGCCUCAUAGACUGGGACAACUAUUGGAAACGAUAGCUAAUACCGGAUAACAGUAUUUCUCGUAUGAGAGAUAUUUAAAAGUUGGUUAUGCUAACACUAUGAGAUGGCUUUGCGGUGCAUUAGCUAGUUGGUGGGGUAAAGGCCUACCAAGGCGACGAUGCAUAGCCGACCUGAGAGGGUGAUCGGCCACACUGGGACUGAGACACGGCCCAGACUCCUACGGGAGGCAGCAGUAGGGAAUCUUCCGCAAUGGGCGAAAGCCUGACGGAGCAACGCCGCGUGAGUGAAGAAGGAUUUCGGUUCGUAAAGCUCUGUUGUUAGGGAAGAAUGGAUAUGUAGUAACUAUACAUGUAAGAGACG
rnacentral:rRNA from 1 species